ACGCGAGCUGGGUUUAGAACGUCGUGAGACAGUUCGGUCCCUAUCUGCCGUGGGCGUUUGAGAUUUGAGAGGAGCUGCUCCUAGUACGAGAGGACCGGAGUGGACGUUCCUCUGGUGUUCCGGUUGUCACGCCAGUGGCACUGCCGGGUAGCUAUGAACGGACGGGAUAACCGCUGAAAGCAUCUAAGCGGGAAGCCCCCCUCAAGAUGAGAUCUCACUGGGUACUUGAUACCCCUAAAGGUCCGUCGAAGACUACGACGUUGAUAGGCUGGGUGUGGAAGUUCGGUAACGGAUGAAGCUAACCAGUACUAAUUGACCGUGAGGCUUGACCAU
rnacentral:rRNA from 1 species